AGUGAACGCUGGCGGUAGGCCUAACACAUGCAAGUCGAACGGCAGCACAGUAAGAGCUUGCUCUUACGGGUGGCGAGUGGCGGACGGGUGAGGAAUACAUCGGAAUCUACUUUUUCGUGGGGGAUAACGUAGGGAAACUUACGCUAAUACCGCAUACGACCUACGGGUGAAAGCAGGGGAACUUCGGACCUUGCGCGAUUGAAUGAGCCGAUGUCGGAUUAGCUAGUUGGCGGGGUAAAGGCCCACCAAGGCGCCGAUCCGUAGCUGGUCUGAGAGGAUGAUCGGCCACACUGGAACUGAGACACGGUCCAGACUCCUACGGGAGGCAGCAGUGGGGAAUAUUGGACAAUGGGCGCAAGCCUGAUCCAGCCAUACCGCGUGGGUGAAGAAGGCCUUCGGGUUGUAAAGCCCUUUUGUUGGGAAAGAAAAGCAGCAGGUUAAUACCCCGCUGUUCUGACGGUACCCAAAGAAUAAGCACCGGCUAACUUCGUG
rnacentral:rRNA from 1 species